rnacentral:lncRNA from 1 species
GCGGAUGAAAUUUUGAAGAUUCUGUUUUAAAUCCUAGGGGUUGUAGGAACAUCGUGCCCACCGUUUGAAAGUAGAUAUAGAGCAAUCAAUACUUCAGUUCACCCUUAUUACAAGAAGCCAUGUAGUUUGCGCUUAUUUACAGGGAGGUGGACAGCUUGGCUUGCCUUGGUAGGACUGAAACAAAUAGAAGUUUAUAUUGACCUUGACAGGCUAUAUAGUCCUUCCACGA